rnacentral:lncRNA from 1 species
UCUAGUCUCUGCUUCCAUCUGAAAUACUUUUUUUCGCGUACCUUUGUACUUGAACCAAGUUCUUGCUUCCUGAUUCCCAGCUUCAGGGCGACCUGCCCACCUGCUCUUACCGUGAGCUCAGUGUUUAACUCCCCAUGACUGCUGCCACCAGAUGGCCUCUGCCUAUACUUCUGGCCAGUCACCUGCAGUGAACUGUGUCCACUUUGGCUGUACUGCUCCAAGGGCUGGAGUCAGGCUUUUUUUAGGAAUAUGCAUCCAACUGAAGUACGAAGUGCCAGAAAUGGUUCAUGUACUAGCAAUAGGCAGGUAAAUAUUUCUCCCAGAAAAUGAAGACUUAACGACUGAAUUUGUGUCUGCUUUAACCUACCCAUAAGGAUUAGGCUCUUCCAGAAGAACAGUGUCUAAAAAAAUCUGGCUGAGCA